AUGGCGAGCCUGUCGGACUCUGGCGGCGGCCGGUCUGGCGCGGAGCUGAUGGUGCCGCAGUUCCACCUCAAGGCGCUGCACGCCAUCCUCGCCGCGCGCGCGCCGCGCCCGAUCGCGCCGGCGCCGGCGUCGGCGUCGGCGGCGGUGCGGAGGCGGGACAGGUGGUUCCACCUGCCGCUCCACGCGCCGCCCGCGGCGGAGCACGUCCCGGAGCCGGCCCUCGGGGAGCCGGUCGUGGUGGACGUGUACCUGGCCCCGUCGGCCGGCGCCAGGGAGGAGGAGGAGGUGGUGGAGAGGUGGACGGUGGCGUGCGAGCCCUGGGCGCCGGGGGAGAGGGCGGCCGCCGAGGCGGGGGAAGGGCUGGCCGUCAACAGGGCCUACAAGCGCUGCAUCACGCUGCUCAGGUCGCUCUACACCACGCUCCGCCUCCUCCCGGCGUACCGCGUCUUCCGCACGCUCUGCGCCUCCGGCCAGGGCUACAACUACGAGAUGGGCUACCGCGUCGGCUCCUUCGCCGCCCCCUUCUCCCGCGCCGACGAGGCGGCCAUGCGCACCCGCGGCUUCCCCCCCGUCGAGACCCACCUCGGCCGCCUGGUCGUGUCCGUCCAGUACCUCCCCACCCUCGCCGCCUACAACUUCGAGAUCACGUCUCUCUCCUCCGCCAUGCUCAUCACCGAUUACGUCGGGAGCCCGGCAGCGGAGCCUAUGCGCUCCUUCCCGUCGUCGCUCACGGAGCCUGCCAGCUCGGCCUUGCCGCUGCCCUCACGGCGCCCCAACAGCUGGGCGUCGCCUGCUGGUGCCUACUGGCCACAGUCGCCCGGGCAGCACGCCAAGUUCUCGCCGCCCCCAACGCUGUACGCGUCUCCCACGCCAUCUCCUCCCACGUUCGGUGGCGGCUACCUGCAGUCGCGGCUGAGCGGGGAGACCGCACCAAUGAGCAUACCGCAAGCGGGCGGAGGGAGGGGCCCUGUCCAGUAUCGGAACAUGUCCGAUCCCAGCAGGGGGUUCAUGCUGCCUCCACCUUCACCCAAGAGCGUGCGAGGGGAGGCACGGUCACACGAGUCACUCACAGAGAGCGGCCGCUCAUCCCGGAAGGCAGAGGGGCUCCGGAUGGCCGAUCUCUACGCUAACUUGCCUGCUGCUCCAAAGACUAAGGACAGUAGGGAGGAAUCUGGUAGGUUCUCAGGUGUUUUCUCCUCUAGUGGUUCUCCACGACACGGGAUUUCAAGGAGUUCAAGCAGACUGUCUACGCAAGAUGAUACUGAUGAUGCAUAUCUUCCUUUUGCUGUGGAUGAUGUCGAUGCACCUGAUUCCAGACCUGGGAGCAGUGGUGGUAGGGGGGACCAGUCGGGUACGUCCUCCCAUAAAUCGCAAGAUGCUGCUGUUGGCUAUCUUGUCCAUCUGCUGAGGUCUGCACGUCCGUUGCGAGAUCCUAGCAAUUCAUCUGUGACAUCAAGGGCCGAAUCUACCGAAGCAGGCAACACCAGCUCGUUCAUGUCCCGUAGAACAUCUGAUGCAUUCGAGGAGCUUGAAUCUUUCAAAGACAUAAAGGAGAACCUGCUCUCCCGUAGUAGAUCUAGAAUGCAAGAUUCAUUCGAUAGAUCCUAA
rnacentral:rRNA from 1 species